rnacentral:rRNA from 1 species
UACAGAGGGGGCAAGCGUUGUCCGGAUUUACUGGGCGUACAGCGCGCGCAGGCGGCCGUGUAUGUGACCGGUGACAGUCGCGGGCUCAACCCGCGCCGGCCCGGUUACACAGCACAGCUGGAGGCAGGGAGAGGGAUGUGGAAUACCCGGUGGAGCGGUGAAAUGCGUAGAGAUCGGGUGGAACACCAGCGACGAAGGCGGCAUCCUGGCCCUGUACUGACGCUGAGGCGCGAUAGCGUGGGGAGCAAACGGG